GAACAUUAUUUUUUUAUUCCACGAGGGAGAAAGACAUUUGUUAGGUUCGUUCAUUUCUUCGUCGCUAGAUGGCGUUGAGUGGCGUUGAGUGGCGUGGCUUGGAGUGGCGUGUCCCCGUAUUAUGUCCAAUGCACUAGUCUCCUUCCCUUACCUCCCUUCCCGCUGCCUCUCUCUGUCUCACUACCCUGUCCUGUGCUGAUAAAAGGAGGGAGGAUGGGAAGGAGGGAAGGAGGGGGAGGAAGGAGGAAACAGAAGGAAGGAAAGAAGGAAGGAAGAAAGGAAGGAAGGAAGGUUAAAAGCAAGUGUCCCUAAUUAAACAGAAUUCGUAGAUCAGGUUGGGACAGAUCAAAAUAUAGGUUAGGUUAGGCCGUGUCAGGUUAGGUUAGGUCAGGUUAGGUUAGGUUAGGUUAAGUAAUGUACAGAGGAUUUAGAUUUGGUUAGGUUGAUUUAGGUUAGGUUAGGUUAAGUUAGGUUAGGUUACGUCAAGUUAGGUUAGGUUGAUUUGGGUUAGGUUAGGUCAAGUAUAGUUAGGCCAGGUUAGAUCAAGUUAGGUUAGGAAGUAAAGAUAUAGGGGAAUUAAGAAUAAAGGAGAAGGAAGGGGAAUGAAAAGAAGGGAGAGAGAAAUAGACGAAAUGAAAUGAUGAAGAGAGAGAGAAAAAAGGAAGAGGAAACAGAGGAAGAGAGACUAAAAAAGGAGAAAGUAACAGUAAAAAAUUAUUCCUACGUAUUGAAAGAAAAGGUGAAAAGAAAAGAAAAGGAAAAAUAAAAAGAAAGUAAUGGACGGAGGAAGACUUUGCACAUACGAAUGAAUUAAAGAAGAAAAGUGACAAGAAAACAUACAAUAACUAACAGGAAAUAGAGAAAUAAAUAUGAUAAUAGAUAUAAAUGAAAAUAAGUGGCUACCAUAGAGAGAAUACUGAUGAAAUUGGAAUAUAAGUGAUGAUGGUGAUGAAGAUAAUAAUAAUAAUAAUAAUAAUAAUAAUAAUAAUAAUAAUAAUAAUAAUAAUAAUAAUAAUAAUAGGCACCUUGCAAUUAGCGCCCAUUGUUAUUAUUAUGAAAAAAAGUAAAAAAAAACGAAAGAGAAAUUUAAAGUUGGUAGGAAGGAAAAAAACAUUAAGAAAUAAAGGAAAAGAGGAAAAGACACAAAAUAGAGACGAGAAAAACCUUUAAAACUAAUAAGAUAGAUGAAUAUAAAAAAAAGAAAUUAUAAACACACACACACACACACACACACACACACACACACACACACACACACAC